AUUGAACGCUGGCUGCAGGCCUAACACAUGCAAGUCGAACGAGUGGCGGACGGGUGAGUAAUGUCUGGGAAACUGCCUGAUGGAGGGGGAUAACUACUGGAAACGGUAGCUACUACCGCAUACCAUCGGAUGUGCCCAGAUGGGUUUAGCUAGUAGGGGGGGUAAAGGCUCACCUAGGCGACGAUCCCUAGCUGGUCUGCGAGGAUGACCAGCCACAGUGGAACUGAGACACGGUCCCGACUCGUACGGGAGGCAGCAGGUGGGAAUAUUGAACAAUGGGCGCAAGCAUGAUGCAGCCAUGCCGCGUGUAUGAAGAAGGCCUUUGGGUUGUAAAGAACUUUCAGCGGGGAGGCGUUACCCGCAGAAGAAGCACCGGCUAACUCCGUGCCAGCAGCCGCGGUAAUUC
rnacentral:rRNA from 1 species